UACGUAGGGUGCAAGCGUUAAUCGGAAUUACUGGGCGUAAAGCGUGCGCAGGCGGUUAUGUAAGACAGGCGUGAAAUCCCCGGGCUUAACCUGGGAAUUGCGCUUGUGACUGCAUAGCUAGAGUAUGUCAGAGGGGGGUAGAAUUCCACGUGUAGCAGUGAAAUGCGUAGAGAUGUGGAGGAAUACCAAUGGCGAAGGCAGCCCCCUGGGACAAUACUGACGCUCAUGCACGAAAGCGUGGGGAGCAAACAGGAUUAGAUACCCUGGUAGUCCACGCCCUAAACGAUGCUGACUAGUUGUUCGGGAAUUUAUUCCUGAGUAACGUAGCUAACGCGUGAAGUCAGCCGCCUGGGGAGUACGGUCGCAAGAUUA
rnacentral:rRNA from 1 species